AGCAGUGGAAACAUAAAGUUUGACAGGUUAAGAAUGGGGCAGCAGUGGAAACAUAAAGUUUGACAGGUUAAGAAUGGGGCAGCAGUGAAAACAUAAAAUUUGACAGGUUAAGAAUGAGGCAGCAGUGGAAACAUAAAGUUUAACAGGUUAAGAAUGGGGCAGCAGUUGAAACAUAAAAUUUAACAGGUUAAGAAUGGGGCAGCAGUGGAAACAUAAAAUUUAACAGGUUAAGAAUGGGGCAGCAGUGGUGGAAAGAUAAAGUUUGACAGGUCAAGAAUGGGGCAGCAGUGGAAACAUAAAGUUUGACAGGUUAAGAAUGGGGCAGCAGUGGAAACAUAAAGUUUGACAGGUUAAGAAUGGGGCAGCAGUGGAAACAUAAAGUUUAACAGGUUAAGAAUGGGGCAGCAGUGGAAACAUAAAAUUUGACAGGUUAAGAAUGGGGCAGCAGUGGAAACAUAAAGUUUAACAGGUUAAGAAUGGGGCAGCAGUGGAAACAUUAAGUUUAACAGCUUAAGAAUGGGGCAGCAGUGGAAACAUAAAGUUUGACAGGUUAAGAAUGGGGUGGCAGAGGAAACAUAAAGUUUAACAGGUUAAGAAUGGGGCAGCAGUGGAAACAUAAAGUUUAACAUGUUAAGAAUGGAGCAGCAGUGGAAACAUAAAAUUUGACAGGUUAAGAAUGGGGCAGCAGUGGAAACAUAAAGUUUGACAGGUUUAGAAUGGGGCAGCAGUGGAAACAUAAAGUUUGACAGGUUAAGAAUGGGGUGGCAGAGGAAACAUAAAGUUUAACAGGUUAAGAAUGGGGCAGCAGUGGAAACAUAAAGUUUGACAGGUUUAGAAUGGGGCAGCAGUGGAAACAUAAAGUUUGACAGGUUUAGAAAGAGGCAGCAGUGGAAACAUAAAGUUUGACAGGUUAAGAAUGGGGCAGCAGUGGAAACAUAAAGUUUGACAGGUUAAGAAUGGGGCAGCAGUGGAAACAUAAAAUUUUACAGGUUAAGAAUGAGGCAGCAGUGGAAACAUACAGUUUGACAGGUUAAGAAUGAGGCAGCAGUGGAAAAAUAAAGUUCAACAGGUUUAGAAAGGGGCAGCAGUGGAAACAUAAAGUUUGACAGGUUAAGAAUGAGGCAGCAGUGGAAACAUAAAGUUUAACAGGUUUAGAAAGGGGCAGCAGUGGAAACAUAAAGUUUAACAGGUUAAGAAUGGGGCAGCAGUGGAAACAUAAAGUUUGACAGGUUAAGAAUGGGGCAGCAGUGGAAACAUAAAGUUUGACAGGUUAAGAAUGGGGCAGCAG
rnacentral:sRNA from 1 species